GACGAACCGAGCGAACGUUGUUCGGAAUCACUGGGCUUAAAGGGCGCGUAGGCGGGUGCUCAAGUCCGGGGUGAAAUCCUCCAGCUCAACUGGAGAACUGCCUCGGAUACUGGGUGUCUCGAGGGUGGUAGGGGUAUGCGGAACUAUCGGUGGAGCGGUGAAAUGCGUUGAUAUCGAUAGGAACUCCGGUGGCGAAGGCGGCAUACUGGACCACAUCUGACGCUGAGGCGCGAAAGCCAGGGAGCAAACGGG
rnacentral:rRNA from 1 species